GGAAAGAAAAGGAUUUGACCUUCAUGACCGAGGCUACAACUCGACGCCUAAUUCAGCCACCUUACC
rnacentral:tRNA from 1 species